UCAGUUCCCGUUGCUUCAGCUCUGACGGAGUGCAAAUCGUAAUCGUUGCUCUGUCAGAGAAAUGAUCGUUAUCUGGCCAGAGACGGUAAAGAAGAUACCAGGCCGCGCCUUGGAGAUGGCGCCAGUAGAGCUACAGUUAUUGAUGAAGCUUAGCUUCAAAAUCUCUCAAAAGAGCCCUGGACUUCUUCUCUCCGGUUCACGGCCAUGUCGCUCCUCCCGAUCAUGAGAGGAAUGCUUGCUUAUGGUUGUAGUUCGCUAAUCAGAUCUGCAGUUUUUUGUCUUGCUGUUGGCAACAAGCAUACCUACAUGGUCAUCUCAGUGGUGUGUUUACUGCUUGGCCCUUCAUCCGACAAUUGAUAUUUUGCUUACUGGGGGACGUGAUUCUGUCUGCCAGGUAUCCAAUUUUACCAGUUAGUUUGAAUUAUAAUUUUGUGGUAUUAUUCAAGUCAGGUUCUCUCGUCGUGAGCAUUACAAAGUUUUGCAUCGGCUUCAGCUGACAAUAUCAAGAAAUUUAACCUCCCCAAGGGGAGUUUGUGCACAAUAUGCUGUGAGUUUCUAUAGUAAUUUAUUAUUUGCAAUUUAAUAAUGUGCCCUUUGUAGCCUUAUUUACUUCAAAAGCUAGGUCUAUAUGAGAAUAUAUUAAAGGAGAACAAGAAACUUUUGGAGUGAGUCGGUGUGAUCCCACGUUGGUUGGAGAGGGGAACAAAACAUUUCUUAUAGAGUGUGGAAACCUCUCCUUAGUAUACGUGUUUUAAAAUCGUGAGUCUGAUGGUGAUACUUAAUGAGCCAAACUAGACAAACUAGCGGUGGGCUUUCAACUGUUAUAGUAGGUAUGACCCUCACUAUUUUGAGUGGGUCUCGGGUCGAGCUGCCUUAGCCAAAAUUCUUGGAGAGCUUGUUUCCCUCUCUUUUCUCCGUUUGUCAGGUGCCAUCUUCGGGAAGGUUCAAAAGUUUGUUUUUGGGAGGUUGUUAGGUUUAAUGCAUCCUUGUAGGCGUCGGUCACUACUAGGCUGUUCUGUGUGAUGAUGUUAUUUUGGUGUUCCGUGCAAAACAUACGAGAGAAAGAACAAUGGGUCGUGGGGAAGAG